UCUGUGGGCUUUGUGUACUCAUGUUCUCUCUCUUUUCCUUUGUAGGCAAUUUAUAGCAUUGAUCUACAGUGAUCUGUACUGAUCUAAAGCGCUGAUCUACACUGAUCUAGACUGAUCUCGCUGACUUCAAUGUGAAGGUACACAGUUGGAAGAGCUGUCCCGUGAGCAGCUGAGGCGAGGAGAAGCCAGAGGUAGAAUUGGGAAGGACUUGAAUGAGUGGAGACUGAGGAACCACAUAAAGAUCAGAGAAGUAAAAUAAUGUAUGCUUCCAAGGCCACAUUUAUGAUGGACCCUGAAUUUGAAUCCAGAUAGGAUGCUAUGCUGCCUGUGCCUGCAAGGAACCGUUAAGGUUGUCAUGGAGACCUGACUCUGUAAUAGAGAGUUGCUGCAAGAGGAGGAAAAAUGCAGGAGGGUCUGGUGCAUAGGUUUCAAGUAGACAUCUG
rnacentral:lncRNA from 1 species